CAGAAUCAGUGAGAAAGGCAAUAAACGCUAUGGAACUGAAACUUAUGCUAAUGUAGAUUUCCUUGCAUUAUAGGUAUUAUCAGAAUUCUAGUCUAAUCAAUUACUGAUACUUAGACUAGGUAUAUGAAUGCAUUACAUAGCUACUAGUUUAUAGUAGCACGAUAUAAGCAGACUAACGAUAAAGAAAAUCGCAAAUUUCGCUAAUAUCAUACACGUAUGUUGAACGCGGACAAACAUACGCGCCUCUCUCACUCGUAAUGGCUGUACAAUAAACGCGGACCGAGUACUGGUAGCAUAUCCAUUUUUUAAAUCAAUUAAACUCUUGACAUAACAACAACAACAUCUACACCUACACGCGUGCACACGUAAACAACACAUGGUCGCAGUUGCGAUCGAUCCGACUCGUAUUACUAACCAUGAAUUCGAUCUAUGAAAUCAAUUAGUUGAAUUCAAAUUCAGACCUAGGAUCGCGCUGGGUCGAAGUUACGAUGUAACGAGCCGAUGGAAAUCGGCUCCAGGUCGGACACACACGAAUUUGCAAUUCGUUGCGUGUUCCAGUCGAAAAUUCUUUUCUGACUGUACCUACAAUUAACCUAUUAUCCUGUUGAGAAAAGGCAUGCUGUGAUACACCUUCAUUGAAAAUCUCCGAGCAAACAACACGAUCUACACACCUAGACGAAAAUAAGCUAUAAACGAUUUUUCUACCUUCGCCAGGAUUAAAAUUACAAUUAGCGUUGUUAGAUAAAAUAUUCUACCGAAGUUCAGUUACGUCAGGUAUGCAUACAAAAUCAGCGAGACAAUGGGAAAUGUUUUCUCCUUGUUUCACAAAGUUCUAAAACAACCUAACGUAAGGUGUUCAAAGUGCUUUCAUCAAACACUUUCUCUAUACCGAAGGAAACGAUAAGGACAGAUUUCAUUUCACUAUAAUUCAGUCACACACGUAACGAUAUAUUUAGUGAACUCGUUUCUAAAACUGUAACAUUAUGCAUAUAUUAAUAUAUACAUAUAUAACGGUAACUCUUAUCGGAGUACCUAUUCAGCACACUCACCACAACUUUGAUAAAGAAAAUCAGUAAUGAUUGCAUACAUAGUUGGAGUCAAUGAUAUGAUAUGAAAAUUCACCGAAUAUUGCAACGUUUAUAGAGCCUUAAAGUAAAACAAAGAAAAGAAAGAUGAAUAAAUGAACAAGAAUUCGGAACAGUCCAGCAAAGUGAUUACAAUAACAAUUUGUAAAAUAAGUUCACUGCCACUCAAACGACUUGCGCUCUUUUGAGGAGCGCCGAUAUUCCAAAUGUGAAUGUGUACAGUUAUGUGAAAAGUACUUAUAUCGUAAUUAUAUUUACACAUAAUAUUAUUUAGAGUUACGUGAAACUAAAUAGCAUGUAAUAAUAUUUAAGAAUGGUAUACAGAUGUAGGAUACAGAUUAAAAAAAGAAAAGAAAGAAAAUCAUUGAUUGCAGGGCUAUUAUAUUCCAAAACAAGAAAAGUUUAUGCCUGCUCAUUUGUAUAUUAUACGUAAAUCUUAGCAAGAAAAUAAGUGUUUCUCUGGUAAAA